CCUACGGGAGGCAGCAGUGGGGAAUAUUGGACAAUGGGGGGAACCCUGAUCCAGCCAUGCCGCGUGUGUGAAGAAGGCCCUCGGGUUGUAAAGCACUUUCAGUGAGGAAGAACGCCUGGUGGUUAAUACCCAUCAGGAAAGACAUCACUCACAGAAGAAGCACCGGCUAACUCCGUGCCAGCAGCCGCGGUAAUACGGAGGGGGCGAGCGUUAAUCGGAAUUACUGGGCGUAAAGCGCGCGUAGGUGGCUUGAUAAGCCGGUUGUGAAAGCCCCGGGCUCAACCUGGGAACGGCAUCCGGAACUGUCAAGCUAGAGUGCAGGAGAGGAAGGUAGAAUUCCCGGUGUAGCGGUGAAAUGCGUAGAGAUCGGGAGGAAUACCAGUGGCGAAGGCGGCCUUCUGGACUGACACUGACACUGAGGUGCGAAAGCGUGGGUAGCAAACAGGAUUAGAUACCCGAGUAGUC
rnacentral:rRNA from 1 species